UACGUAGGGCGCAAGCGUUAAUCGGAAUUACUGGGCGUAAAGCGUGCGCAGGCGGUGAUGUAAGACAGGUGUGAAAUCCCCGGGCUUAACCUGGGAACUGCAUUUGUGACUGCAUCGCUGGAGUGCGGCAGAGGGGGAUGGAAUUCCGCGUGUAAGCAGUGAAAUGCGUAGAUAUGCGGAGGAACACCGAUGGCGAAGGCAUCCCCUGGGCCUGCACUG
rnacentral:rRNA from 1 species